rnacentral:lncRNA from 1 species
AGGUUGCUUUGGAGAGUAAACAGUGGCUUUUACUGUGCAUUGGGGCUAUUUAUUCGCUUGGAAUAAAAUUCAGCAAAGUUAACUGAGAGCAUUUGCAAUUAUUUUUAAUGAGAUUUUUACUUCGCCGAUAAAAAAAAGGGAAAACAGAAAACUUUAUAUAUAUAAUUAGAUUAUAUUAAAAGAUUUAGAGAGUUUUAAAAUAUUCCAACAGAAACAAAGUGAAAGGGUAUGACCACUAGAGUAAUCAAAGAUAAGAUGAUUACAGAGAAACAAAGAAGCUGGACCCACUCAACAAUAAAUGAGAGCCAUCGAUUUUUGCAGCCCCGUUUUAUCUCAAAUAGACAGUUGAAGAAUGGUGUUGCAGUAGCCCUUACCUUGUUGCAGUGAAGGGAACAAACAGGAAAACCCUAAAAGGGUAGAGUUUGGGGCAAGAAUAUUGUGGCUGCAUCAAAAAAACAUAACAAAAGCAAUGGGCAAUUUAAAAAGUGCAGAGACAGAAGAGAAACAGUAAUGAGAUUGGGUCCACACUGUUUGAUGGUUCCUAAUUCAACAAUUGUUUUAAUUAUCUUGCACUCGGCCGGUUCCAUAGUCUUCUAUUGCGGCCGGGUCAAUAGUCUUCCUAUUGUCGGCUAGUCAUGAUCUUUAUUGCGGCUAGUCAUGGUCUUAGAUUGCGUUGCCGUCAAAUCUCCUUCCGACGUCUCUUGGAAGCUAUAAGAGGGGGGGCUGAAAGAAGAAAAGAAGAGAGAGGAAGAGUGUGUUGCAAGGGACAUUUUUAUACUUGUGGAGAGUGGGUUCUUGAUGAGUGGUGUAUAGGUAUUGGGAUGGUAUAUUCAUACUCAAAUAUACUUGUCUAUUUUACUCAUAGUGAAAGAACGUAAAAAAAAAAGAUCCGCUCCCGUGGAGUAUAUGCGGUUAUUUGCCCGAACCACGUAAAUUAUUGUGUGUCUCUCUCCUUUUUACAUUCAUUCAUCAUACGUCAAUUGGUUGUGUUGUGGUUGUGUUCUAAUCUCGGUUUCUUGGGUGGCUUCCGCUGUUAAAACCCCAAACAACUGGUAUCCAAGCGCUUGGUUUCUUGUCCGGUGUUUGAGAUUCGGUUUUCAUUCAAUCCAUAACACAAUGAAGGCAACGAUCACUCUACACUCUCAUUUUCUGCCGAACGGUUUUAAUGGAAAUAUAGCUUUACUCUAAUGGCAACGAAGGGUAAAAGAUAUCCUUCUUCAACGGGCUUGCUAAUGCGUUGAAAGGAAAGGAUGCUAAACCGAGAGACGAUGAAAGAUGAUUAUUGGUAAGAGUUAAUGAAUGAAAUGUGUGGAGCACUAUUUCGGCUCGGUAUUGCUGAUAAUAUUAUCAACAUGUUUAUGGUGAAUGAUGAUCGGCAUCAGCCUUGUGGGGAAGUUGGAAAACUCUAUCUUGCCAAGAGUUUGACCAACAGUUCAUCUGAAGCGACAAUUAUAUCUGCUAAAGAAUGGAGGAAGGCGGGAGCCUCAUGUAGCACAGAACGUUUCAAUGGUUCUUUAGAUCAGCUGCGAAAGUGAUGUAAAAAUAGAUGAAGAAGACAAGGCCCUUUUUGCUUCCUUCACAUCUCUUCCUCUUCCGGAUUCGUAUGAUACUUUGGUUGACAACUCUUUGUUGUAAAAGAAACAGUGAGUUGGAGCAAUGCAGUCGUCAUUGGUUUCUCUUGUAUCAAAAAAAGGAGGAGGUCAGAGAGGUUUUGAGGAUGGAGAAGUGCAGUCUCUUGCGGUUCAAAGUGGAACGGGGAAAGAAAUCUGAUGGUAGAUCUGGAUGGAGCAAACGGUCCAGUUCUAGUUCCAGAGGCAAGGGUGUACCAUUCUACUAUUGCCAAGAAUUUUGGUCAUGUUAAGCGUGAUUAGUCCUUUGCGCAAGAUAAAGGGAAGAACUUCGACGACGCUACAAGCUGCAAUUCUUUGGUGGUAGCGGAUGAUGAGAUUGCCUCACAGUCUCUGAAGGUAUUCACACUUCUUUCUCAUGAGGAGUGAUUUAGAUUCGGGUUGCCUCGGGCAUAUUUGCUCUAAAAGGAAUUUUUGACACACUUCCAGAAAGAGAUGGGGGGUCGCUAUUUUUUGGACGAUGGAACUCCAUGUAAAUUCAAAGGUGUCGGGAAUGUAAAGAUAAAAAUGUUUUGGAUGGAGUGUUUCGUACUUUGGGUGGUGUGAAUUUAUAAUCCCGAAGUUACGAAGGAAUCUAAUUUUCACUUACGCGGAUGGACUCCAUGGAUCAAGUAUUUUUGCUUUGCAGGUGGAGCCAUGCAUAUCACACCGCUCGUCAGCAGGAUUCUAAGAAAAGGAGAGAAUGCGAAGGAUUGUAUCGGUUGAAUUGGCAAAACUAUUUACUCGACGAAGGUUUUGGAACGGUGUGCACAAGGAAGUGGGUACCCAUGUGUGAGUCUUUUGCGGCAAAUACAACGUUAUUUUCAAGUUGUGCCGAUGGAUGUGAGGGUGUAAACUCGUUGGAAGAGAGGAUGGGUCGGAAUUCCUUCUCGGUGACACUUGAUGAUAAUUGGCACGGGAUGGCUACACGGGUUUUUUUGGUCGUGUGAUUUUGAAUAAAUUUUUAUUCGGGUGGUGUAGUCCAUUGUAUCAGCUUGGGUGGAGUGCGUCGUGCACUUGGAAUUCCUCACCAAGGUGGAGAUUGUUGGGAUUGGUUCUAAUUUCAACAAUUGUUUAAUAGCUUGCACCGCCGGUCAUAGUCUUCUAUUGCGGCCGGGUCAUAGUCUUCUAUUGCGGACCGGUCAUAUCUUCUAUGCGGCUGGGUCAUGGUCUUCUAUUGCGCUGAGUCAUGUCCUUUGACUUUGAUUGCGGCUAGUCUGGUCUUAGAUUGCGGUUGCCUCAAAGUCUCCUUCGCGUCUCUUGGAAGGCUAAUAAGAGAGGGGCUGAAGAAAGAAGAGAAGAGAGAGGAAGAGUGUGUGCAAGGGAACCAGUUUUAUACUUGUGAUAGUGUGUUCUUGAUAAUGUGUAUAGGGAUUGGGGUUGGAUAUUCAUACUCAAGUAUACUUGUACUAAUUUUUACUCAUAGUUAAAGAACUGGAUCUUCUCCAUGGAGUGGCGGUUAUUGCCGAACCACGUAAAUUAAUUGUUUUGUCUCUCUCCAUUUUAACAUUUCAAUCAUACUCUCCAAUUGGUUGUGUUGUGGUUGUAUUUUUCGAAUCUCGGUUCUUGGGGGCUUCCGCUGUUAACCCCACACACACCAGAUAGAACCUG